UACGAGGGGGGCAAGCGUUGUUCGGAAUUAUUGGGCGUAAAGCGCGCGCAGGUGGUUUCUUAAGUCUGAUGUGAAAGCCCACGGCUCAACCGUGGAGGGUCAUUGGAAGCUGGGAGACUUGAGUGCAGAAGAGGAAAGUGGAAUUCCAUGUGUAGCGGUGAAAUGCGUAGAGAUAUGGAGGAACACCAGUGGCGAAGGCGACUUUCUGGUCUGCAACUGACACUGAGGCGCGAAAGCGUGGGGAGCAAACAGG
rnacentral:rRNA from 1 species